AGGGGCUACAAAAAGCCUGGCACGUUUAAGUACAACUAAAUGAUAGUGAAACUGCAAACAGCUCAUUACAACGGUUAUGAGUACCCGGGAGUUCCGAUGGAUAUUUCCAGUAACACUAGAACUAAUACACGUCCCUGCGUUUAUUAGCUUCGCACAGUCCGUCGCUGAGUCAUGGUAAACAGUUGAUCGACUCGACGUCCCGGAACAGUUUCCGCCCCAUCAGCUUCGAUGGUUGGGUAUUGGCCUACCAUUGCAACAACGGGUAACGAGGAAUUAGGGUUUGAUUUCGGAGAGGGAGCCUGAGAAACGGCUACCACAUCUACGGAUGGCAGCAGGCGCGCAAAUUACCCAAUGCAGACACUGUGAGGUAGUGACGAGAAAUAAUAAAGCGGGACUUCUGUUUCGCUAUUAUAAUGAGGAAUAACCAAAGGUCAUUCCGAUUAGCAACUGAUGGGAAAGUCUGGUGCCAGCAGCCGCGGUAAUACCAGCGUCAGUAGCAU
rnacentral:rRNA from 1 species